rnacentral:rRNA from 1 species
GAUGAACGCUGGCGGCGUGCCUAAUACAUGCAAGUCGAGCGAACAGACGAGGAGCUUGCUCCUCUGACGUUAGCGGCGGACGGGUGAGUAACACGUGGAUAACCUACCUAUAAGACUGGGAUAACUUCGGGAAACCGGAGCUAAUACCGGAUAAUAUAUUGAACCGCAUGGUUCAAUAGUGAAAGACGGUUUUGCUGUCACUUAUAGAUGGAUCCGCGCCGCAUUAGCUAGUUGGUAAGGUAACGGCUUACCAAGGCAACGAUGCGUAGCCGACCUGAGAGGGUGAUCGGCCACACUGGAACUGAGACACGGUCCAGACUCCUACGGGAGGCAGCAGUAGGGAAUCUUCUGCAAUGGGCGAAAGCUUGACGGAGCAACGCCGCGUGAGUGAUGAAGGUCUUCGGAUCGUAAAACUCUGUUAUUAGGGAAGAACAAAUGUGUAAGUAACUAUGCACGUCUUGACGGUACCUAAUCAGAAAGCCACGGGUAACUACGUG